AGUUUCAAAGAGCGGUGCCUUUUCGAUAUUUUAGAAAGUAAUCCUAUUGGAAGUCAGGCUCUUGAGAUUCAGAGAGCGGUGCCUCUUCGAUUUUUGAGAAAACAAUCCUGUUGGGAGUCUGGCUCUCGAGAGUCGGAUAGCGGUGCCUCUUCAAUUUUUGAGAAAGCAAUCCUGGUGGGAGUUUGGCUCUCGAGAUUCGGGGAGCGGUACCUCUUCGAUUUUUGAGUAAGUAAUCCUGUUGGGAGUGUUUUCUCGAUGUGAGUAAAGCUUAGGCAUUUUUGCCAGUCUGCCUUGCCACGAAGCACGGAGGUUGACACACACAGGGGCUUUCCAGUUAUCAAGCAAUGGUGCUGUUCCUUUACCCUUGUGGGUAAUGGUAGGUGAAGGGAAAAUUAUGAGUUUUCACAUAUAGGGAUUUCAAAAUGACUAUCAUACAUAUACAAAUCAAAUUUAAUAUACGAAAGCAGCGGAAGCAUUUAUAACAAAUUAUCAAAGCUA
rnacentral:lncRNA from 1 species